UACAGAGGGUGCAAGCGUUGCUCGGAAUCAUUGGGCGUAAAGGGCACGUAGGUGGUCUCAUUUGUCUGGGGUGAAAGCCCAGGGCUUAACCCUGGAAGUGCCCCGGAAACGGUGAGACUGGAGUCUUGGAGAGGGUCGUGGAAUUCCCGGUGUAGCGGUGAAAUGCGUAGAGAUCGGGAGGAACACCAGAGGCGAAGGCGGCGACCUGGACAAGUACUGACACUCAGCUGCGAAAGCGUGGGGAGCAAACAGG
rnacentral:rRNA from 1 species